rfam:Beta vulgaris subsp. vulgaris contig157573.1, whole genome shotgun sequence.
UAAACGGUCCUUUUAAGGGCCACAAUAAAAAGAUAAAAUAAAAUUU